GCCAAUGAUGUCACCUACAAGAGGCUGAAAAAAGCUUUAAAUACAUUAAGCCAGUAUCACUCUGGUCCAGCAUUCAAUCUUAUUGAUGUCCUCUUCUUUUCCUCUGAUCCAAGUCCACCGAGUGAAACACUCGCUGUCUCUCGAUUUACUUUGUGAGUGGCACUCUGAGAUCACUGCCAAAUGCAGCCUCUUCAAUGUUCCUUGACUAAGCAUGGAAACCAACAGUUUUCCCCCAAUGCAGUUUGUC